rnacentral:misc_RNA from 1 species
UCUCCGUUGGUGAACCAGCGGAGGGAUCAUUACAGAGUCGUAAAACACUCCCAAACCCAUGUGAACUUACCUUUGUUGCCUCGGCAGUAGUUGCUGGGCGAGCCUACCCGGGAACGAGCUACCCUGUAGCGAGUUACCCUGGAACGACUUACCCUGUAACGCCUGCCGGUGGACUACUAAACUCUUGUUAUUUUUAAAGUAAUCUGAGCGUCUUAUUUUAAUAAGUCAAAACUUUCAACAACGGAUCUCUUGGUUCUGGCAUCGAUGAAGAACGAGC